UACAGGGGGUGCAAACGUUGCUCGGAAUUAUUGGGCGUAAAGCGCGCGUAGGCGGCUACUUAAGUCGGAUGUGAAAGCCCUUGGCUCAACUGAGGAAGUGCACCCGAAACUGAGUGGCUAGAGUACGAAAGAGGGUCGCGGAAUUCCCGGUGUAGAGGUGAAAUUCGUAGAUAUCGGGAGGAACACCGGUGGCGAAGGCAGCGUCCUGGGAAGUGACUGACGCUCAUGUGCGAAAGCUAGGGGAGCGAACGGG
rnacentral:rRNA from 1 species